GACGGGCCUGGCAGUUGUGAACUCGAACCUGCCGCUGUCGCCGCGGCGGGGCGGGGAGCGAGAGUGGGCCGCGGAGGCCGGCCUUCGGGCUCCAUGGACGGGCGCCGCGCCCCUGCACAGCCCGCCGCAGAGGUAAGGCUGGCCUCUCUGCAGUCAGAGGUCUGAGCUCUGCCAUGGGGAUAGGGGUGUCUUUAUUACUGCAGUUUUCUCUAACACCUGGGGGCUACCGGAGUGUGGGCCGAAGCAGGCGCUGCAGCCGCGGAAGUAUCCCCAGGAACAUCCCCAAGAGGAGCUGGAAAAAGCCUCAUCCCCAGCUCUGCAGUCUCCAGGGUAGAGUCUGGCCUUUGCUGUGCUCCCAAACCACGCCACAACAGGGGUGCACGGGCGUCCCCAUCCCGGCGGAAGGAAAUGGCCCUUUCUCAUAUCCUGGGGUCUUCCCUGUGCACAGUCUGACACUGGGAAUGAGUGACCUUUGUGUUCCCUGAGAAGAGAGAGUGGGCUCUAGGGAAUUUAGAAGGAUGUGUCUGGAGCUUGUGAGCAGGCACAGAAGGGCCCUUAGGAGCCUAACUGCUUCCUUCCUCCUUCCGCGGAGGAGGCUCCUGUGCAGGAAUCUGGGCUCCCCUGAGCUGUGGAAGAGCUGAACAUGGGGUAGCCCCUGGCGAGGUUGGGGCAGGACCGGGCAGGGGACUGAGAUUGCAGCCUCAUCUUCCCUCCCCUUCUAUUGCCCCAGUAAUCUCCAGCACCCCGAGGGAGGCAGAGCCGGUGAUCAGGCCCCGAGGGCAGCAGGCUGUGGGUGUUCCUUGGAUUCAGGGAGAGCAUUCCUUCCUGCAAUGUCCUAAUUUGUGUGGGUGGAAGAGGGCAGGCGGGCAGAAUGGGGGCACAGUCUGAGCAGGCGGUGGUCUGGCGUUAGACUGCCGGGAGUAGCACCCAGGGCUCUGCUCCUGUUCCCCGAGAAGGGCUGUUCUCACUUGUCCUCCAGCCUCCUACAGAGACUGCAGUUAGUGAUGCUGAAAGUGCCUCCCCUGUGGGGCUAGGAAUGAAAAGCUAUAGAAACCUUUUUCUCU
rnacentral:sRNA from 1 species